UACGGAGGGUGCAAGCGUUAUCCGGAUUCACUGGGUUUAAAGGGUGCGUAGGUGGGUAGGUAAGUCAGUGGUGAAAUCUCCAAGCUUAACUUGGAAACUGCCAUUGAUACUAUUUAUCUUGAAUUUUCCGGAGGUGAGCGGAAUAUGUCAUGUAGCGGUGAAAUGCUUAGAUAUGACAUAGAACACCAAUUGCGAAGGCAGCUCACUACGGGAAUAUUGACACUGAGGCGCGAAAGCGUGGGGAGCAAACAGG
rnacentral:rRNA from 1 species